rnacentral:rRNA from 1 species
GCGCAGCAGGCGAGAAACCUCCGCAAUGCGGGCAACCGCGACGGGGGGACCCCCAGUGCCGUGGCAUCGCCACGGCUUUUCCGGAGUGUAAAAAGCUCCGGGAAUAAGGGCUGGGCAAGGCCGGUGGCAGCCGCCGCGGUAAUACCGGCGGCCGAGUGGUGGCCGCUAUUAUUGGGCCUAAAGCGUCCGUAGCCGGGCCUGUAAGGUCCCUGGCGAAAUCCCACGGCUCAACCGUGGGGCUUGCUGGGGAUACUGCAGGCCUUGGGACCGGGAGAGGCCGGGGGUACCCCUGGGGGUAGGGGUGAAGUCCUAUAAUCCCAGGGGGACCGCCAGUGGCGAAGGCGCCCGGCUGGAACGGGUCCGACGGUGAGGGACGAAGGCC